rnacentral:rRNA from 1 species
GGAUUAGAUACCCUGGUAGUCCACGCUGUAAACGAUGAGUACUAGCUGUUGGAGUCGGUGUAAAGGCUUUAGUGGCGUAGCUAACGCGAUAAGUACUCCGCCUGGGGACUACGGCCGCAAGGCUAAAACUCAAAGGAAUUGACGGGGACCCGCACAAGCGGUGGAGCAUGUGGUUUAAUUCGAUGCAACGCGAAGAACCUUACCUGGUCUUGACAUCCACAGAAUUUUCCAGAGAUGGAUUAGUGACUUCGGUAACUGUGUGACAGGUGCUGCACGGCUGUCGUCAGCUCGUGCCG